UGGUGGAGUGAUCUGUCUGGUUAAUUCCGUAAACGAACGAGACUAAGCCCUGCUAACUAGUCACUUGUAUGCUUUGCGUACACUGUUGACUUCUUAGAGGGACUGUCGGCUUUCAGCCGAAGGAAGCGCUUGGCAAUAACA
rnacentral:rRNA from 1 species